GAUGAAGAACGCAGCGAAAUGCGAUAAGUAAUGUGAAUUGCAGAAUUCAGUGAAUCAUCGAAUCUUUGAACGCACAUUGCGCCCCCUGGUAUUCCGGGGGGCAUGCCUGUCCGAGCGUCAUUACAACCCUCAAGCUCAGCUUGGUGUUGGGCCCCGCCGCCCCGGCGGGCCCUAAAGUCAGUGGCGGUGCCGUCCGGCUCCGAGCGUAGUAAUUCUUCUCGCUCUGGAGGUCCGGUCGUGUGCUCGCCAGCAACCCCCAAUUUUUUUCAGGUUGACCUCGGUCAGGUAGGGAUACCCGCUGAACUUAAGCAUAUCAAUAAGCGGAGGA
rnacentral:misc_RNA from 1 species